AUCCAGGUUAUAACCUGGUUAUUACCAGGUUAUAACCAGGUAAUGUCUCAGGAUAUAACCAGGUUAUAACCUGGUUAUAACCAGGUAAUGUCU
rnacentral:miRNA from 1 species